rnacentral:rRNA from 1 species
AUCAACUUUCGAUGGUAGGAUAGAGGCCUACCAUGGUGGUAACGGGUAACGGGGUGUUAGGGCACGACACCGGAGAGGGAGCCUGAGAAACGGCUACCACAUCCAAGGAUGGCAGCAGGCGCGCAAAUUACCCAAUCCCGACACGGGGAGGUAGUGACAAUAAAUAACAAUACGGGGUUCUUUCGGAUCUCGUAAUUGGAAUGAGUACAAUUUAAAUCUCUUAACGAGGAACAAUUGGAGGGCAAGUCUGGUGCCAGCAGCCGCGGUAAUUCCAGCUCCAAUAGCGUAUAUUAAAGUUGUUGCAGUUAAAAAGCUCGUAGUUGAAUUUCGGGGUCAGUAGGUUGGUCGUGCCACUGGUACGUACUGGUCUCACUGAUUCCUCCUUCCUGAUGAACCGUAAUGCCAUUAAUUUGGUGUUGCGGGGAAACUGGACUGUUACUUUGAAAAAAUUAGAGUGUUUAAAGCAGGCUAACGCUUGAAUACAUUAGCAUGGAAUAAUGAAAUAGGACGUUCGAUCCUAUUUUGUUGGUUUCUAGGAUUGACGUAAUGAUUAAUAGGGAUAGUUGGGGGCAUUAGUACUCAAUUGUCAGAGGUGAAAUUCUUGGAUUUAUUGAAGACUAACUACUGCGAAAGCAUUUGCCAAGGAUGUUUUCAUUAAUCAAGAACGAAAGUUAGGGGAUCGAAGACGAUCAGAUACCGUCGUAGUCUUAACCAUAAACUAUGCCGACUAGGGAUCGGAUGAUGUUAAUUUUUUAAUGACUCAUUCGGCGCCUUACGGGAAACCAAAGUGUUUGGGUUC